CUAUGAAGUGGUGUUGCAACUUAUGAAGGCCUUAAUGGCAAGUUAAUGUUGCAUCCAUUUCAAUUUUCUGCUAUGAUGAUAAAAGGAACUAAUAUCUUAGCAGAAUUCAAUUUUCUUAUUCAUUUUCCUUGUUUAUUUGGCUUUCAUAUACCUGUUUUCUGCUGGUGUUGGUGCUGGUUCUUGUUUUGUAGGACAUUGUCGACGCCAAGGACCAAAUCACGUGAAGGCUGAAGCAAAUUAAUGCCAGCAAAAUGUAGAAGGUGGAUUCUUGAUACGCCUAACUUUUGAUUUUAAUCAUAAAAAUUCUUGUGUUUACGCACUUACUCAUGGAUUUCGUUUGAUGUGUGCAUAUGGGAUAGUGUACUUGGAUAGCUUUUGUGGUAGCUGUUUUCGAUCCAGCAAGUGCCCUUCCAACAUUCCAAAAUCCAUGCUCUCUCUUACUCUCGGAAGGUGAACAAUAUGAAUUCUACAAAUGAAGUUGGGAGAUGCCUGAAUAUCUGGCAAGAAAGGGAUUAAAUUGGUGUUGAAUCCUUAACAACAUAAGCCCUCCCCAGUGAACUCCUCCCAAAUUGUAGUUUUAUGAAUAGAUAGCUCUGUUCUAUGCUACUGUAUCUUGUUUAGUUGUAAUGUCAACUUCAAAUAGAGUCGUGUCCAGAAUCUGGUGUAAAUAAGCUAUCGACAAAUAGUUUUCUUUUU